CGUCGCUGUGCUCUCUUAGUGUGCUGGCAGCGCCAGUCCUCGAUGAAUUCCCCGGUGAGCAGCUUACUCAUGGAGAGUUUUGAAGAAAGGGGCAUUGUGCCUCCAGCCGAGAAGAGGAAGGAGCAGAGGCUGCUCACUUGAUACUCCCUGUUGUAAGCAAUGACAGGAGAGACACGGGCAACAGAAGUCAUUCCGGCUCCCGCUGCUUUCCUGACCAGACUGCCUGGCUCGGUGCCUGCAGAAAGGAGCGAAGCUGUGUAUUCCCUCUCCCAAGAGCAAGAGAGGCACAGCGGCUCAGUUGUUACUCAUUUGUAGGUCUCCGGGGAGAGUGCAGUUCCAGCCUUCCUCUUACUCAAAUUACAAAGUUGCCCUUCGUUCCUGAGAGCCAAGAAAAUAGCUCAGCUUACAUGUGGUAAAAGAGAACUUGUAAAAGAAGUUAUUUUUGAAGGGGCAGUGUAAAAAAACAGUAUUUGCAUUGGCUACUCUUGAUGUUGCUACUGUAUUUGGAAGCAGCUGGAAGGUACUGUAGGUUUCCUCAUCAGUCCCAGGGCUUCCUGAUGCGCAGUUUAAAUGCGAAGGGAUCCAGGCAAUAGGUUCCCUUUUUUUGAGCUUGCCCUGCUCUCUGGGGACACUAAAAAAGGCAAAUGAGCCCAGCCAGUUGAGCAACUGCAGCGGUUCAUCUUCCACAGAGCUACGCAGGGACUCCCUGCAUUGCUGUGCCAUGGCUGAUGGGGCAGCAGAGGGGGAGGAGAUUGUGGGGAGCGAAAGGCAGCUUGAGUGAAGCAUUCUCAGCAAGAAGAAAUUGUAGGUGCAGAUUACCUGGGAAAUAGUUCCCUGUUAAAGUUUUUCUGACUCCUACAUAUACUAGCACACGCUCAGUUGGAAAAAAGAAAAAAGAUAUGUCUGAACAAUGGAAUUACGGUUAGUUUCUGCUCCUCAUGCAAUAGGAAAGGCAGGUAUUAGGAAGAUCUAAUUUUAUUUCUGGUUCUGCCAUAAACUUCUGUUUAUUACCAGGGAAAAGCUGUUUAAGCGUCAGUUUUCUCUGAAGAGAAAAGUGGGUGGGGGGAGGGAGAGAGAUAUGAUUAAUCACAUCAGGUAUUGGAAAUAAAUUCAUUUUUUGCAUCAGUAAAGCACUAUAGGAAUAUUGGCUUAUACUGCAGAGUGCAGUAUUUUACUGUUUCAUUUUUUUACUGAGUUUGCUCCAUGUGAACAGAAUAUUUUCUUCCUGUGGAGCUGAACAGAAUAAAAAAGGUGGAGUGAAACUGUUCCUACUUUGGUCCCUAUUUGUGGCCUUUUGCAGACCCCUUUGCCCCUGAAGCCAGGACAAAGGCAGCGGGACUCUUGCCUUUCUGUUGAUGCACAGAUGUCUGCAGCGGAGGAACCAGAAGGACACGCAGUCUGGAGAGAAGUGCAAUGAAAAAGUGGAGAUCUUCCUCUCAGUCUCUUCUCUGCUCCCUUUAUCUGAAAUGAAAUGAAGUUAAGUACUUCACAGUUUGCAUAUAAUUGAGGUUAAAAAUGUUCAAGUUUUAACUUUUUUAGCAUUAACUUUUUAAGAUUUUGGAGCUGAUUAUGUCUUUGUCUUAACUUUAACAGUCAAAAGCACUGAACAGGUCAUUAAAGUCCUUUGUGAAUUCAAACAGGUGAGACCUCAAUUUUUUUUCUCUUCAAGAUGAAGUCCUAUAAGGGUAAAAUCAUGUUACAGCAUUGAAGUGUUUCUUUUUGUAGACUUCAGAGAAUUUAG